UACAGAGGUGGCAAGCGUUGCUCGGAAUUACUGGGCGUAAAGGGCUCGUAGGUGGCCAACUAAGUCAGACGUGAAAUCCCUCGGCUUAACCGGGGAACUGCAUCUGAUACUGGAUGGCUUGAGUUUGGGAGAGGGACGCGGAAUUCCAGGUGUAGCGGUGAAAUGCGUAGAUAUCUGGAGGAACACCGGUGGCGAAGGCGGCAUCCUGGACCAAUAUUGACGCUGAGGAGCGAAAGCUAGGGGAGCAAACGGG
rnacentral:rRNA from 1 species